ACAGUACAAACUGAGCAGGCGAUACCCGAAAGGGUAUGGGGCCGGGCCGCCCAGGCGGCAGCAGAUGGUAGGAAAAAGCAUCUGUGGGACAGU
rnacentral:ncRNA from 1 species